rnacentral:misc_RNA from 1 species
AGCACGAAGAGCCAGAGAGC